rnacentral:rRNA from 1 species
AACGAACGCUGGCGGCAGGCCUAACACAUGCAAGUCGAGCGCCCCGCAAGGGGAGCGGCGGACGGGUGAGUAACGCGUGGGAACGUACCCUUUGCUACGGAAUAGCCUCGGGAAACUGGGAGUAAUACCGUAUGUGCCCUUCGGGGGAAAGGAUUUAUCGGCAAAGGAUCGGCCCGCGUUGGAUUAGGCAGUUGGUGGGGUAAUGGCCUACCAAGCCGACGAUCCAUAGCUGGUUUGAGAGGAUGAUCAGCCACACUGGGACUGAGACACGGCCCAGACUCCUACGGGAGGCAGCAGUGGGGAAUCUUAGACAAUGGGCGCAAGCCUGAUCUAGCCAUGCCGCGUGAGCGAUGAAGGCCUUUAGGGGUUGUAAAAGCUCUUUCAGUGGGGAAGAUAAUGACUGUACCCACAGAAGAAGCCCGGCUAACUCCGUG